rnacentral:lncRNA from 1 species
AAGAAGGCCCACAGAUGACACAUGGUCACAAGCAGUCUCAACCCUCAAAGUCCAGUCCUGGGAAAGUAGCUCUGCUGGCCUGAGGGUACAGAGAAGAGAAGGGGGCUCACCCACCCCCUGGAUCCUUCUGGCACCCAAGAAGGAAGCCUCUACAUCAGCAAAGAUUGCACUGAACCCUGGGAGUAAAAGUGGCACCAGAUCACACUUCUAACUCUAGAGGACAGUGUCUUCAGAAUGGGUUUUGGUGUGACAUUGUCUCAGGCAGCCCUCGGCCAAAGCCAGACCCCAAGCAAGCUCUGAGAUCUAGGUAAUCCACCCAGCACUGUGGGUCAGUCAGAUGAGCAUGCCAUGGUGAGGUCUUCAGACACCAACGAGCAGAAACCCAGCGGACCAUCGAAAAAGGGUUGAGACCCACAGGUUGAGAACCUCUGCUCUGGACAAAUUCUGCAAGUACAGGGACCAAGGCCAAAGUGUAGAGGGGAGCCCAGUGUUAUGCUCUUCCCCCUAGUGUGACAUUCAAUAAAUGUUGGGGAAGGAAGAAAACGUCUCCGGAUGCUCCUUGGGACGCUAAGAUCUGCAGAAGGGCCUGUUCAUGUGCUCCAGGAGUGACACCUGGAACCAAUUUGACCUCCUAUGACAUUAAGUUGAUCGGCUCCACAACUGUCACCAAGUAUAGAGCAUGGAGGGGAUCCAGGUUAGGUAAGUUUUGGUGGGAAAGGGGUGUCUUGGGCCCAGUGGUGCCAGAGCCAUAUGCAGAG